UCUCAAUUUCAUUCAUAGAUCUAUAUCCCAAACAUUGACAUUAAUGCAUUUGGAUUCCUUUUGUAAUUUAUAUGCCUUCAUCUUUACCAGCUCUCCAGCCUUUCUAGCUGAGUGAUCAGUGACAGAAUUUUACUGUUGUUAAAAAAAAAAAAAAAAAAAAGCAAGAUCUCGGUCCCUUUCAGACACCUGUUAUGUUAAUGAGGCAAUGUUCAGUCAUUGUAGAAUAGGCCUAGUUAAGCCCAUGGAGGGGGCAGUUGGGCCAAAUAAAGAAGAUAUUAAUUUCUGUUUCUGUUGAUGUGAAGAAAACGCCAUAACCAAGGCCACUUACAGGACAAUGUGUUUGUCUUAUGGUUCAGAAGAGAAAUUGUAGCAGCAAAUGUCAUGAGCAUGAAGCUACACACAUCUCUAAACACAAAUACAAGGCAGAGCGAGAAAACUGCAAGUGGGGUGAAGGUUUAAGCUCUCAAAGUCUGUCCCCAGUGACAUAUGUACUUCCAAUGCCAAAUCCCCCAAAUUCCACCCCCAAAGCACUGCCAAUUAGGGACCACAUAUUUAUAUACUGGAACCCAGGGGAGACAUUUUUUCACUUAAACCACCACAGAUACCCAAAAGUGUUCUUCUCUCAUUACUUUAUCCACUCAUGGCUUAGGAACUUCAUUAAUAAAUCCAGCCAAUAUGUGACUGCUUAGGCACUUAGCAUUAUAUCCAAUGUUUCUCAUGUUAAUUUUAAUUAUGUGUACAUAUAUGUGUGUUAUGUGUGGGUGUGUCCACAUGCGUGCGAAUGUCCAUGGAGGCCAGAGAGGUCAUCAGAUCCUAUGGAGCUGAAGUUACAGGCUUUUGUGAACAUCUGGCAUG
rnacentral:lncRNA from 1 species